rnacentral:rRNA from 1 species
CCUACGGGAGGCAGCAGUGAGGAAUAUUGGUCAAUGGGCGCGAGCCUGAACCAGCCAAGUAGCGUGAAGGAUGACUGCCCUACGGGUUGUAAACUCCUUUUAUAAAGGAAUAAAGUGAGGCACGUGUGCCUUUUUGUCUGUACUUUAUGAAUAAGGAUCGGCCAACUCCGUGCCAGCAGCCGCGGUAAUACGGAGGAUCCGAGCGUUAUCCGGAUUUAUUGGGUUUAAAGGGAGCGUAGAUGGGUGGAUAAGUCAGUGGUGAAAGUUUGCGGCUUAACCGUAAAAUUGCAAUUGAUACUGGCAGCCUUGAGUGCAGGUGGGGUAGGCGGAAUUCGUGGUGUAGCGGUGAAAUGCUUAGAUAUCACGAAGAACUCCGAUUGCGAAGGCAGCCUACUAAACUGCCACUGACAUUGAUGCUCGAAAGUGUGGGUAGCAAACAGGAUUAGAUACCCUGGUAGUC